rnacentral:rRNA from 1 species
ACGAAGGGGGCUAGCGUUGCUCGGAAUGACUGGGCGUAAAGGGCGCGUAGGCGGCUUACAUAGUUAGGCGUGAAAUUCCUGGGCUCAACCUGGGGACUGCGUCUAAUACAUGUAGGCUUGAGUGUGAAAGAGGGUCGUGGAAUUUCCAGUGUAGAGGUGAAAUUCGUAGAUAUUGGAAAGAACACCGGUGGCGAAGGCGGCGACCUGGUUCAUUACUGACGCUGAGGCGCGAAAGCGUGGGGAGCAAACAGGAUUAGAUACCCUGGUAGUCCACGCUGUAAACGAUGUGUGCUGGAUGUUGGGGUGCUUAGCACUUCAGUGUCGUAGCUAACGCGGUAAGCACACCGCCUGGGGAGUACGGCCGCAAGGUUG